rnacentral:lncRNA from 1 species
CCGGUCCGUCCACCAUCUCCCAGGAUAUCUAGUCAGGCUGACCCCGUCAUACAAUUAUCAGUCUAUACAAUGUUUCAUUUCCCUUUUUCCUCAAUAAGCAUCAUCAAUUCACAUUUAAACAAUCAAAUCGUAAUUCAUGCCGAACAGACAACAUACAGUAUCAGUUCUUCAGUCAUUCAACCCAUAAUUAAUAAAACAGUAAUAUAUGCAUUCGAAACUAUAAAAUGAACACAUCAAACCCCAUAAUGCAUUUAAAGCUGUAAAACAGUGUAAAACAUGCCAAAUAACAGUAAAUCAUCAAUCACACUAGACUCGGGCUCCAUUAGCAACCUUAAGCAAUUUCACACAUGCGUUAAUUCAAGAAAUACCGUUUUAUCAUUUUGAACUUUAAUACCGU